CAGCUCGUUUUUCUGGCAGGGCCUGGUAUGACACAUUUGGCUGUGUUCUUUGCUCUGGAGUGGACCUAUUGAUUCUUAUCGAGCUACCAGCUGAGGGGGAAGGGGAGGACAAAUAGUAGGGCAGACCUGGGAGAGAAGGGACCCUGGAAAAGCCUGGCCAGUGGACCUGCCAGGUGGGAGGCAGAGCACAGAUAAAGAGCCUGAGCCUGGAUUGUUCCUGAUCUGUCACCUAAUGGUGGGGAGAGCCCCACAGUGCUCAAUGGGAGCCAGCCAGGGGGCAGUCAGGGUGGAAGCUGGCCAGGGGAGGGUCGGGGCCUGCUGAAGGCUGGGAGGCAAACGGGAUGCAAAAUAACAUACAAAUGAAUGCCCACUGGUUUUGCAUACAAGGCUUCUGGGAGGUAAGAGGUUCCAGUCAGAGGGGUCUCUCCUGCUUUCACCUUUAUAUUCCCCCACUGGAUUCCAGAACUGUCAAGUUGGGCAGUAUUUUAUAAUAAAGUAUGUGGAGUCAACAA
rnacentral:lncRNA from 1 species